rnacentral:RNase_P_RNA from 1 species
CAAGUUGGCCGGGUGAUCGCGGCCGAGCAAUCGGCUGAGGAAAGUCCGCACUCCAUAGAGCAUGGUGCCGGCUAACGGCCGGGCGGGGCGACCCGCCGGAAUAGUGCAACAGAGAGGCGUAUUGCUUAAAUCAUUGCGGAAGUAAUGAUAAUUGUUGGUCCGCCAACAAUAAGUGAGGGUGAAACGGUGGUGUAAGAGACCACCGGCGGCGGCAGUAAUGUCGCCGGCCAGGCAAACCCCACCAGGAGCAAGACCAAGCAGGGUGAAGGUACUGCUCGUACCGUUUGACAUCCGGGUAGGUUGCAGGAGGGUUGUGGUAACACAGCUCCCAGAUAGAUGAUCACCAUGCCGAAAUAUGGCGUUUUAAAAAAUAAUAAGGUAAUCAAACCGGCGCCUAAAACGCCUUAAUCAACCUGAAGUUACACACUUGCCGAUUACCAUAUUAUUUUCUUCAGGUUCAUAUUUCGGCAAACAGAAUGCGGCUUAUAGGCUGACUUGUGUA